UACGUAGGGUCCGAGCGUUGUCCGGAAUUAUUGGGCGUAAAGGGCUCGUAGGCGGUUUGUCGCGUCGGGAGUGAAAACCUACAGCUUAACUGUGGGCUUGCUUUCGAUACGGGCAGACUUGAGGCAUGCAGGGGAGAACGGAAUUCCUGGUGUAGCGGUGAAAUGCUUAGAUAUCAGGAGGAACACCAGUGGCGAAGGCGGUGUUCUGGGCCAGUACUGACGCUGAGGCGCGAAAGCGAUGGGGAGCGAAC
rnacentral:rRNA from 1 species